UGGUGGAGACCGGCGCACGGGUGAGUAACAGUGUAUGCAAUCUACCGUCAACAGGGGUGGAUAACCCGUCGAAAGGCGGACUAAUACCGCAUAAGACCACGUUUCGGCAUCGAAAAGGGGUAAAAUAUUUAUAGGUUGACGAUGAGCAUGCUUAUCAUUAGGUAGUUGGUAGAGUAACGGCCUACCAAGCCGACGAUGUUUAGGGGUCCUGAGAGGGUGAUCCCCCACACUGGUACUGAGACACGGACCAGACUCCUACGGGAGGCAGCAGUGAGGAAUAUUGGUCAAUGGUCGAGAGACUGAACCAGCCAUCCCGCGUGAAGGAAGACGGCCUUAUGGGUUGUAAACUUCUUUUCCGGAGGAAUAAACUAUUGUACGCGUUAACCAAUACUGAAGGUACUCCGGGAAUAAGCAUCGGCUAACUCCGUGCCAGCAG
rnacentral:rRNA from 1 species